rnacentral:sRNA from 1 species
CUCUUUUCCGCCUCACCCUUUGGGAGUAGGGGUGUGCGGCUGGCUUGUCCCGCCCCUGCCCCCGAGUGACAGAACCGUGGACAGCAACAUUUCCCACAGGACACGAAGUUUGUCGGCCCUUGCCUUGGCAGAGCUGAGUAAGAAAAAUCACCAAGAAUAUUAUUUUUGGUAUUUGGAAUUGAAUUUGCCAGGAAUGCAAGCACUGCUACCUAACUAAAGACCUUGGCUUUGGAAACAUCUUACCCCUUGGCAGCUCUCCAGAGUUUAGACUUGGCAGCAUCAAAGACACAACGCAAGGUAGUGAAUGAAUAAAGUAUUGACCUCUGAAGUGUUAUCUCUGCUGGGAUGUUGGCUUAAAUGACUAGAAAGGAAUUGGGGGAAGCAUAAUGAGUAACCAUUUUGGCAGAUAGCCUCAGUGAUUUGCUUUAAGAAAAAAUUAAGCAUAGUCUGUAAAGGCAAAGAACAAAACUAAAUUGAAAAGGGAAUAAUAUCUUGAGUGUUUAUUCAUUUAAUCCAACUUCUCUCCUAAAACGGAGUGGUAUCUUCCCUAGCCACACACAAUUAAGAUUAAAAUAACUUGAUUCCUAUUUACAAUUAAUAAAUGCAAAAUACUAUGCAAAUAGGAUUGCUAUACGAAUAAAUUAUA